rnacentral:tmRNA from 2 species
GGGCUUGACUGGAUUUGACAGCGGGACGAAAUGGUAUGUAAGCAUGCAGUGCGUCGGUGAUUUGCACUAUAAUCUCAGUUAUCAAAAUUUUAUCUGGCGAAAACAAUUACGCUCUUGCUGCUUAAUCGAAGUAUAGUAGAUUAGCUUUAUUUCUUCACUAGGUGUAGAAACGAGACAUCACUCGAAAGCUGUUGUUCCGAAGCAUUUCGACAUAGUGGUGCAGUAAAAUCGGAAAUAGUUUAUAGUUGCCUCGCACUAUGAAUGAAAAUUUAGAGGAUAAGGUUUGAGUUGGUGGCUUCGGUCUUGCUCAUACUCGAAAAUUUAAGCGAAGAUAAGCAUGUAGAAAGCGUAUGGUUUCCUCGUUUGGACGAGGGUUCGAUUCCCUCCAGGUCCACAG